rnacentral:rRNA from 1 species
UGGGGAGUCUUGCGCAAUGGGCGAAAGCCUGACGCAGCCAUGCCGCGUGAGUGAUGAAGGCCUUAGGGUUGUAAAACUCUUUCACCGGGGACGAUAAUGACGGUACCCGGAGAAGAAGCCCCGGCUAACUUCGUGCCAGCAGCCGCGGUAAUACGAAGGGGGCUAGCGUUGCUCGGAAUUACUGGGCGUAAAGGGCGCGUAGGCGGAUCAGCAAGUUGGGGGUGAAAGCCCGGGGCUCAACCUCGGAAUUGCCUUCAAAACUGCUGAUCUAGAGUACGGGAGAGGUGUGUGGAACUCCGAGUGUAGAGGUGAAAUUCGUAGAUAUUCGGAAGAACACCAGUGGCGAAGGCGACACACUGGCCCGUUACUGACGCUGAGGCGCGAAAGCGUGGGGAGCAAACAGGAUUAGAUACCCUGGUAGUCCACGCUGUAAACGAUGAUUGCUAGUUGUCGGCA